UAGGGAAUCUUCCACAAUGGACGCAAGUCUGAUGGAGCAACGCCGCGUGAGUGAAGAAGGUUUUCGGACCGUAAAGCUCUGUUGUUGGUGAAGAAGGAUAGAGGUAGUAACUGGCCUUUAUUUGACGGUAAUCAACCAGAAAGUCACGGCUAACUACGUGCCAGCAGCCGCGGUAAUCGUAGGUGGCAAGCGUUGUCCGGAUUUAUUGGGCGUAAAGCGAGCGCAGGCGGAAGAAUAAGUCUGAUGUGAAAGCCCUCGGCUUAACCGAGGAAUUGCAUCGGAAACUGUUUUCUUGAGUGCAGAAGAGGAGAGUAGAACUC
rnacentral:rRNA from 1 species